rnacentral:rRNA from 1 species
AUUGCCUCAGUAACGGCGAGUGAAGCGGCAAGAGCUCAAAUUUGAAAGCUGGCUCCUUCGGAGUCCGCAUUGUAAUUUGCAGAGGAUGCUUUGGGUGCGGCCCCCGUCUAAGUGCCCUGGAACGGGCCGUCAGAGAGGGUGAGAAUCCCGUCUUGGGCGGGGUGUCCGUGCCCGUGUAAAGCUCCUUCGACGAGUCGAGUUGUUUGGGAAUGCAGCUCUAAAUGGGUGGUAAAUUUCAUCUAAAGCUAAAUACUGGCCGGAGACCGAUAGCGCACAAGUAGAGUGAUCGAAAGAUGAAAAGCACUUUGAAAAGAGAGUUAAACAGCACGUGAAAUUGUUGAAAGGGAAGCGCUUGCGACCAGACUCGCCCGCGGGGUUCAGCCGGCAUUCGUGCCGGUGUACUUCCCCGUGGGCGGGCCAGCGUCGGUUUGGGCGGCCGGUCAAAGGCCCCUGGAAUGUAGUGCCCUCCGGGGCACCUUAUAGCCAGGGGUGCAAUGCGGCCAGCCUGGACCGAGGAACGCGCUUCGGCACGGACGCUGGCAUAAUGGUCGUAAACGACCCGUCUUGAACCACGGGACCA